rnacentral:rRNA from 1 species
AGAGUUUGAUCAUGGCUCAGGAUGAACGCUGGCGGUCUGCUUAACACAUGCAAGUCGAACGGGCUCUUUCGGGAGCUAGUGGCGGACGGGUGAGUAACGCGUGAGAAUCUGCCAAAAGGACUGGGACAACCACUGGAAACGGUGGCUAAUACCAGAUGUGCCGCAACGUAAAAGAGGAAACUCGCCUUUUGAGGAGCUCGCGUCUGAUUAGCUAGUUGGUGAGGUAAAAGCUCACCAAGGCAACGAUCAGUAGCUGGUCUGAGAGGACGACCAGCCACACUGGGACUGAGACACGGCCCAGACACCUACGAGUGGCAGCAGCAAGGAAUCUUCGGCAAUGGGCGCAAGCCUGACCGAGCAACGCCGCGUGGAGGACGACGGCCUUCGGGUUGUAAACUCCUUUUCUGGGGGACGAUACGGACGGUACCCCAGGAAUAAGCCCCGGCUAACUCUGUGCCAGCAGCCGCGGUAAUACAGAGGGGGCAAGCGUUGUCCGGACUUACUGGGCGUACAGCGCGCGCAGGCGGUCGCAUAUGUGCCCGGUGACAUCUGCUCGCUUAACGAGCAGCGGCCCGGGUAGACAGUGUGACUGGAGGCAGGGAGAGGGAUGUGGAAUACCCGGUGGAGCGGUGAAAUGCGUAGAGAUCGGGUGGAACACCAGCGGCGAAGGCGGCAUCCUGGCCCUGAACUGACGCUGAGGCGCGAUAGCGUGGGGAGCAAACGGGAUUAGAUACCCCUGUAGUCC